AGUGAACGCUGGCGGUAGGCCUAACACAUGCCAGUCGAACGGCAGCACAGUAAGAGCUUGCUCUUACGGGUAGCGAGUGGCGGACGGGUGAGGAAUACAUCGGAAUCUACUUUUUCGUGGGGGAUAACGUAGGGAAACUUACGCUAAUACCGCAUACGACCUACGGGUGAAAGCAGGGGAUCUUCGGACCUUGCGCGAUUGAAUGAGCCGAUGUCGGAUUAGCUAGUUGGCGGGGUAAAGGCCCACCAAGGCGACGAUCCGUAGCUGGUCUGAGAGGAUGAUCAGCCACACUGGAACUGAGACACGGUCCAGACUCCUACGGGAGGCAGCAGUGGGGAAUAUUGGACAAUGGGCGCAAGCCUGAUCCAGCCAUACCGCGUGGGUGAAGAAGGCCUUCGGGUUGUAAAGCCCUUUUGUUGGGAAAGAAAAGCAGCAGGUUAAUACCCCGCUGCUCUGACGGUACCCAAAGAAUAAGCACCGGCUAACUUCGUG
rnacentral:rRNA from 1 species